rnacentral:rRNA from 1 species
GACAGAGGGUGCAAACGUUGUUCGGAAUUACUGGGCGUAAAGCGCGUGUAGGCGGCAGCGCAAGUCGGAUGUGAAAUCCCAUGGCUCAACCAUGGAAGUGCACCCGAAACUGCGUCGCUAGAGUCCUGGAGAGGAAGGUGGAAUGCUUGGUGUAGAGGUGAAAUUCGUAGAUAUCAAGCGGAACAUCAGUGGCGAAGGCGACUUCCUGGACCAAUACUGACGCUCAGGUGCGAAAGCGUGGGGAGCAAACAGG